GUCUGUGGCACCCUGGCUUGAUCUGAGAGUAGGUUCCCCGAGGAAAUUGUUAAAAAGCAGGUUCUGGUUCAGAAGGUCUGGAGUGGGGCCUGAGAGUCCUCGCUUCUAACAGAGUCCCAGGUGAUGCCCAUCUGACACUGGAGUCUCAUGGGAGCGAGAAGACCUCAGCGCAGGCUUAAGAGGAUGCAUGAAGGUGGGGACUGCAUGGGCCCAGUGAAGGGGAGCCAGAGGGAAGAAGACGCCACCAUCCUAGGCCCUGAAAGACCUCUGAGGCCAGUGGCCCCGGCUUGCUCUGAGGAGGACGUUCGCCACCCAAGGGCCCAUGGCCCCAGAUCCAGCCUCAGGCCACCUCUCCCCUGGACUCCCAGCUCCCCUGCUGCCCUGUGCUUGGGCCAGGACCACAGUAACUCCUGAGUCAUCUCACCUUCUAUCUCUCUGGUUUUCGCUCACCUGCCUCCCUGGCUUGGGUUUCUUUGAGAAGAAAAUUUUCUAUCUCCCUCCCAUCUGUGCGCUCCCAGGGAAGCACAGCCUGCCUGGUGACAGCUUCUCUCAAGAAUGCUCAGGGAUGGCCAGGCGUGGUGGCUCACGCCUGUAAUUCCAACACUUUGGGAGACCGAGGCGGAAG